GAUGUUUUUAAAUUGUUUUUGGUCGAUUUUGCUUUGUUUUUGAAACAAUUUCAUUUAUUUGACGAAAACAUGCUUUUUUUUAAUUAUUACAUAAAAACCUCAGAAAAGUAGAGCUUUCACCACUUUAAAGGACAUAUUAUUUUUUUUAGCUUACUGCAAUAAAGAAGGUAAAAAGUGAAAAGGUUUGUUGCAAGUUGAAUAACUUCAAAAUUAACUGAAACACUUAAUUUUUUUGCUUUUGGAUCUAAGCGACAUUUAAAUUGUCUCUCUUAAAACAUUAACAGUUAAGUGUGAUUUGCUGAUUACUCAAAGGAUAUUUAAAUUUAAACACUAAGGUCGGGUUUAUAGAACAUUUUUUGAUUCUGAAUUAAGUUAAUAUCAAAAUUAACUUAACAUCGCCAUCAAAUUGAUCACGGUUUACAUAUGCGUUUUUAAUCAAAUUUUAAUUGUGAUUAACUAAUUCGAAUUAAAUUGACAUUUGACGGGGUUGGCACAACUGAUUAAGUUCAGUGGCUAUUUUCACGAGUGUUUUUAUAAUUCUCUCCCGUGUGGUCUGUGUGUGCGCUUGUGCAAAUUACAUUUAAAAUUUAAAAUGACGGAGGCAAAGGUGCACCGAGAAAGAACAAAGAACUUUACCGAAAGGGAAAAGGAAAUUGCUCUAGAUAUUAUAAACAGGUAUGUAGCUACUUUGGCAUAAAUUAACGAUUAUUGUAGGUUAGGUUUGUACGUCUCCUGAGUCUGGAAUUUGGUGCAAAACACAAUUCUAACAUUUUUUUAAAUCGUAUGUUUAGGUUUCAAACAUGCACCUAAUUUUUUUCCACAUGAUUUUUGCACUGCACUUUAAUCCAACCAUUUUUUUCAAAUAUGACAUUAUAUUCCUUCUUUUACGUUAUCCUACAUCCACCUCUGCCUUUCCUUUAGAUAUCAAAACAAAAUAGAAAAUAAAGAAACCGACGGUGUUUCCCAAAAGGAGAGAAAAGACGCAUGGGAAAAGGUGGCUGAAGAAUUUAAUUCAGCAUCAUCAACAGCACCACGAACAGGAAAGCAGAUGAAAGUGCUUUGGUCCAAUUUACGCCGGACAGCUAAAAAAAAUAUUGCUAAAGAAAAUAAAAAAAGAUACUUAGAUGAGACGAAUGAACUGGGAAAUAUAGCAGAGCUUAAACGAAAAAAAAAUGAAGAUAAGAAAAACAUUUCGAAAACUGGGGGUGGAACGUUCGAGAGCCAAUUAACUGACGUGGGGGCUAGAGUCUUAGCAAUGGUCGAGCCACAGGCAAGGCCCUUACCAAAUCUAUUUGAUGAUGACAAUAUUUACCACAAAGAUAUAGUACUAUUAACUCAAGAUCAGGAAAUAUCCCCUCCUGUCCUGGAACCUGUUGAAGGACACUCUAAUGUAAAUAUUUCUGAUCUCCCCAUUUACCUUGAAGAUGAAUGUGUUCCCCCAUCCGAAACCGUUUGUGAA